AUUGAACGCUGGCGGCAGGCCUAACACAUGCAAGUCGAACGGUAACAGGAAACAGCUUGCUGUUUCGCUGACGAGUGGCGGACGGGUGAGUAAUGUCUGGGAAACUGCCUGAUGGAGGGGGAUAACUACUGGAAACGGUAGCUAAUACCGCAUAACGUCGCAAGACCAAAGAGGGGGACCUUCGGGCCUCUUGCCAUCGGAUGUGCCCAGAUGGGAUUAGCUAGUAGGCGGGGUAACGGCUCACCUAGGCGACGAUCCCUAGCUGGUCUGAGAGGAUGACCAGCCACACUGGAACUGAGACACGGUCCAGACUCCUACGGGAGGCAGCAGUGGGGAAUAUUGCACAAUGGGCGCAAGCCUGAUGCAGCCAUGCCGCGUGUAUGAAGAAGGCCUUCGGGUUGUAAAGUACUUUCAGCGGGGAGGAAGGGAGUAAAGUUAAUACCUUUGCUCAUUGACGUUACCCGCAGAAGAAGCACCGGCUAACUCCGUGCCAGCAGCCGCGGUAAUACGGAGGGUGCAAGCGUUAAUCGGAAUUACUGGGCGUAAAGCGCACGCAGGCGGUUUGUUAAGUCAGAUGUGAAAUCCCCGGGCUCAACCUGGGAACUGCAUCUGAUACUGGCAAGCUUGAGUCUCGUAGAGGGGGGUAGAAUUCCAGGUGUAGCGGUGAAAUGCGUAGAGAUCUGGAGGAAUACCGGUGGCGAAGGCGGCCCCCUGGACGAAGACUGACGCUCAGGUGCGAAAGCGUGGGGAGCAAACAGGAUUAGAUACCCCUGGUAGUCCACGCCGUAAACGAUGUCGACUUGGAGGUUGUGCCCUUGAGGCGUGGCUUCCGGAGCUAACGCGUUAAGUCGACCGCCUGGGGAGUACGGCCGCAAGGUUAAAACUCAAAUGAAUUGACGGGGGCCCGCACAAGCGGUGGAGCAUGUGGUUUAAUUCGAUGCAACGCGAAGAACCUUACCUGGUCUUGACAUCCACGGAAGUUUUCAGAGAUGAGAAUGUGCCUUCGGGAACCGUGAGACAGGUGCUGCAUGGCUGUCGUCAGCUCGUGUUGUGAAAUGUUGGGUUAAGUCCCGCAACGAGCGCAACCCUUAUCCUUUGUUGCCAGCGGUCCGGCCGGGAACUCAAAGGAGACUGCCAGUGAUAAACUGGAGGAAGGUGGGGAUGACGUCAAGUCAUCAUGGCCCUUACGACCAGGGCUACACACGUGCUACAAUGGCGCAUACAAAGAGAAGCGACCUCGCGAGAGCAAGCGGACCUCAUAAAGUGCGUCGUAGUCCGGAUUGGAGUCUGCAACUCGACUCCAUGAAGUCGGAAUCGCUAGUAAUCGUGGAUCAGAAUGCCACGGUGAAUACGUUCCCGGGCCU
rnacentral:rRNA from 1 species